CCUACGGGAGGCAGCAGUGGGGAAUAUUGGGCAAUGGAGGCAACUCUGACCCAGCAACGCCGCGUGAAUGAUGAAGGUCUUCGGAUUGUAAAGUUCUGUGAUGGGGGAUGAACACAAUGACGGUACCCCAAUAGCAAGCCACGGCUAACUACGUGCCCGCAGCCGCGGUUAUACGUAGGUGGCAAGCGUUAUCCGGAAUGACUGGGGGUAAAGGGUGCGUAGGUGGUUUAGUAAGUUGGCGGGGUAAUUCCGGGGCUCAACCCCGGCGCUACCGCCAAAACUAUUAGGCUAGAGUGCAGGAGGAGUAAGUGGAAUGCGUGGUGUAGCGGUGGAAUGCAUAGAUAUUAGGAGGAACAUCAGGGGCGAAGGCGACAUACUGGCGUGUAACUGACACUGAGGCACGAAAGCGUGGGGAGCAAACAGGAUUAGAUACCCUGGUAGUC
rnacentral:rRNA from 1 species